rnacentral:rRNA from 1 species
GAGUGGACCUGACCCUAGUACGAGAGGACCGGGUUGGACCGACCACUGGUGCGCCGGUUGUCCCGCCAGGGGCAUCGCCGGGUAGCUAAGUCGGGAUGGGAUAAGCGCUGAAAGCAUAUAAGCGCGAAACCCGCCACAAGAUGAGAUCUCUUUAAAGGGCCGUGGGAGAUGACCACGUCGAUAGGCCGUAGGUGGAAGUGCAGCGAUGCAUGCAGCCGAGCGGUACUAAUUGCCCGUAAGCUUGCGCAU